CCUACGGGUGGCAGCAGUGAGGAAUAUUGGUCAAUGGGCGCGAGCCUGAACCAGCCAAGUCGCGUGAGGGAAGACGGUCCUAUGGAUUGUAAACCUCUUUUGUCGGGGAGCAAAAGCCGCCACGCGUGGCGUUCCGAGAGUACCCUACGAAUAAGCAUCGGCUAACUCCGUGCCAGCAGCCGCGGUAAUACGGAGGAUGCGAGCGUUAUCCGGAUUUAUUGGGUUUAAAGGGUGCGCAGGCGGAAGAUCAAGUCAGCGGUAAAAUUGGGAGGCUCAACCUCUUCGAGCCGUUGAAACUGGUUGGCUUGAGUGAGUGAGAGGUAGGCGGAAUGCGUGGUGUAGCGGUGAAAUGCAUAGAUAUCACGCAGAACUCCGAUUGCGAAGGCAGCAUACCGGCGCUCAACUGACGCUCAUGCACGAAAGUGUGGGUAUCGAACAGGAUUAGAUACCCGAGUAGUC
rnacentral:rRNA from 1 species